AUUUGCGAGGCGGUGGUAAUUCAGCGUAUAACGUUCUUAACAGAUGAUGCUGCAUUGGUUGAUAUUAUAAUAAGGCUAUUCGGUUCCAUUUUGGAAUUCGGCUGUUAUGAUAUUUGUACGUAAACUGGUGCUUGCUUGUUUUUAAUUAAUAGCAUUAAGUAUAUCUUUAUUUCGUACUCGGCACAUAUCUGGAUUAAAAAGUGUUUCAGAAAAUCCUUUAUCUCGGACACAGGUUGCUACGUUGAGACAGCUCGCAUCGGCCAACGUUCAUUCAUCACCAACAGUCAUUCCGGACUAUCAUAUAUAUAACCUCAAUUCACGUUUCUAAAUUUAAUUUACCCAGUUUGUUACUAACGGUGUGUACAACAAAUGUUUUGUUUUUCGCAAACGUCAUUGCCGGCUGGAUGUUGAACUGGCACAAGGUUCACAUUUUAGCAGAUGCAUGUUUAUUUCGCCCGAAACUGGUGAUUGCCUAGGUAUUUUAUCUUACUUAUUCAUCAUCGCUGGAUGUUGAACCGACACAAGGGUAAGGUUCACAUUUCAGCUGAUGAUAUUUAUUUCGCUAGAAACUCGUAUAAUACGGUAUUUUAUCGCCUCUGGAGACACUUAUUGGUCAUCGGUUGGAUAUUGAACUGACACAUGGGUAAGGUUCACAUUUCAGCUGAUCAUCAGUUUAUUCCAGUGGAGGCUUGUAUAGUAAACUAGGUAAUUGAUAGCACUGUUAUUAUCUAGACCAGUGCAAGUUCAUUGCUUUUGACUGACAAUAGCAUAUGCAGUCAAACUGACAUAGAUUGAGGUUUUUGUAACAUGUGGUAUCAGUAUAUACGUAGAUAUUUUUCAUGAUCAUCUGCAAACGGUUUGCCAGGUUGGGGUGGGGUGUGUCUCCUUUAUCCCAAGGAGACUUGUGGCGUUAGUAAUGCCCCCACCUUUUCUGUGCUAAAUGUUAUAUAGUUAUUAAUUAAUAAUUUUUCUUGUUAAUUAUUAAAAAUCGAUUAAAAUAAUAAACCGGCUAUGUGCCAAUAACCGGGCACAUAAGCCAUAAUUAUGCCAUAAAGGCUUUGACUGGUUUUGUAGUAUUCGGCAGCACAGAAAACCGAGCUCAACCUGACAAACAGUUUGCCGAUGGUGGUUUAAUAUAUGCAGGGAAGC